AAUCAAACCGACUGGUUGGGGCUGUCUCUUACAAAGAGGCGACCCCUCCCAGCCUCACAGAUUAACUUUUAUAGAGGUGGUUGAGCCUGGCUAUACACAGGUGGCCAAUGAGAUUGCGGUACACAGAGAAAACUGCACAGUCAUGCUAGGUCAGCAACACACAGAGAAAACUGCACAGUCAUGCUAGGUCAGCAACACACAGAGAAAACUGCACAGUCAAGCUAGGUCACACACGGGUGGCCAAUUGAAUUUCAAUUUACCCUAGUAGAUAUAUGCACACCCCACUGAUUGGAUGUCUCCACCUGGCCUGUGUCUGGGCUUCGCAAGACAGACUUCCAAGCAUGCAAAAGAAGCAUUUUGCACUGUUGUGAGUGUGAAGUGUUGAAAGACAACAGCACUAUGGCACCCGUAGUCUUCAUCAAACAAGGUAAGGGAGUUCAUCUAAGUUCUGGGCUUUAGUGGGGAGGUUAAAGCAAGUAAAAUACUUUCUGGGAUCUGAGUAAGACUAGGAUUAAAAGAAGCUGAGAAAAGAACAUCACAAUAAGGGUCCAGGCUGUCCAGGCUGGAGAUCCCAUCCAGUCAAGAGAAAUGAUAUAAGUU
rnacentral:lncRNA from 1 species